CCCUCAACUCAGAGAUCGGACGAGGGCUACUACAGUGACGAUCAAUAAUUAGUUAGAGAAUGAUGUCCUAGAGAUAUCUGAUGAGGUAUCUACUUCUUUCCAGCAGUAGAUUUUAGAUUCUGCAUGCUCCUAUCAUGUAUAUUGCAGAGAGGAGCAGUUUGACUCUCUGAAAAGCGGUGAGGAUACUAUUUAUCUAUCGGAUGCAUCGAGCUGUGCGAUAAGAGACAUCGGGACAGUCAGCUGGAGGACACAUGAUGGUGCAGUGAGG
rnacentral:lncRNA from 1 species